CAAAGAGUCCUCGCAGGACAGCGAACACAAACGGGACCACUUUUGGAGCCACGGGAGCAAAGUGGAUAUAGCUAUUUGGAAUAAUCAGGAUCACCAAGGCUGGGUGAAAAUCCAGAUCCACUUGCAAGCCACGACCACUACACCGUCUGAAACACGAUCAUGCAGAGGCACUGUACUGAAGAAACACGCACGUCCCCCACCGGUAGCUCAAAGCCAAAAGCAUCGGAGAUGAUGCAUGAUCCUCAUCACGUAACGCUCAACAAUCAACCCGAUGCUCCCAGUCGAAGAUAAUCCAGUCAGUGGAUUGUGGCCGCAGGUUUGAUGCCGUGAUACGUGAAAAUAAGCCCGUUUUACACGGCGGGAACGUCGGCGUGGACUUGACAGGAGCGCCUCCGAAAAUAAAGUUUGGGGUCGGAAAUGACACGUCUUUUGUCUCAUUUCUAAAAAUACUUGAUGGGAUGACAUUUAAUGGCCGUUCAUGUGUUUAGGUAAGGUUAAUCAGGACUGUAGUCUCACAAAUCGCAAUAUUUUAUUUACGCAUAAGGACAAAUGAUGUCAUUAUUUGUAACUUAAUACAGCGGGUUCCCAAUCAAAUCUUUUAAAGCUAUGUAAAACCCAAGUUUGUUGAAUUGAAGUUCAAUGUUAGCUUAAUGUUUUCCCUUUUUUUGUCAUAGUGAAGAACGGCAUUCGAUAGCAAUGACAAAGGUUUAUUCUU